CCUUAUUUUUCACGACAACAAGGGCGGCGCCAUUUCGCUCAUUUUGUCAACGUUCUUCCGGCCGCAUAGACGAUGAGCAGCUGAGGCAGUUACUGAAGGCGACGCGUUAAGCUUAAAAAGCUCACUCGAGCGCCUUUAUGUUUCUUUCUUACCAAUUUUAAGCCAACUGAGGAACACCCUUAUCCCAAGUAAUGGUUCGACUACGAUGUUCCGGUAACUUUAAACCACGCUGGGUGUUGAAAAGGUGGCCACUUUCAGAUGCAUUGAUGUGUAGUGAUGCAGUGGACAACUGUGAGGAUGAUACAAACAUGUUCCUAAACUGUGAUGCAGAAACACAAUGAGAGGAUCCAUCCGUCUCUGACCACAACUACACUUUAAAAUCACAACUCAACCUAAAGCAACCUACAUCUGAUAUGGGAAAACAAUGGUGCAGUUUCCCUGACAGGGCUUAUCCUGGUCCCAGGCUAAAAUGCAUAUUUGAGCUACAAUAAUUUAAAAACACCUUUUACUGACAUACCUCAACAUAUAUGAGUGUCAUUGUUUUGUCACAAGAUGCGCACCAGUCUUGUUUUUUGUAGGGUUUGUUUGUAAAAACUAAAAUGUCCUAAUAUAAUUAAAUCCUAGUCCUGUAAACCCUGUCCGAGAAACUGCUUCAAUGUGUUGAGCUGGCACAAAUGUACAUAUCUCUGCUGAGAAACAACCAUCUUUGGUUCAGCUUUACACAGGGUUGAUAUUGCAUCCAUUACACAGUCACCAAGCACUUUACCAGUACAUACACCAACAGCUUCCAGAUAAACACUUGGGAUCAGCUCCUGAUGACUCCGAUAAAGCUGCAUCUUAAUUUAUUGCAGGGUGGUCUUGCUUUACCUGUUGUAAAGUUACAUUAAACCUUCAUAUGUGAUCAGAUGUCAUGCAGUGAUAUUAAACAUUUACAGUGUGAUCAGAUGUUGUGCAAUUAUAUUAAACCUUUACAAUGUGAUCAGAUGUUGUGCAAUUAUAUUAAACCUUUACAAUGUGAUCAGAUGUUGUGCAUUUAUAUUAAACCUUUACAAUGUGAUCAGAUGUUGUGCAAUUAUAUUAAACCUUUACAAUGUGAUCAGAUGUUGUGCAGUUAUAUUAAACCUUUACUAUGUGAUCAGCUGUUACCUGUCAUGCAGUUAUAUUAAACAUUUACUAUGUGA